rnacentral:rRNA from 1 species
UACGUAGGGGGCUGGCGUUGUCCGGAAUCAUUGGGCGUAAAGCGCGUGUAGGCGGUUCGGUAAGUCCGCUGUGAAAGUCGGGGGCUCAACCCUCGGAAGCCGGUGGAUACUGUCGAGCUAGAGUACGGAAGAGGCGAGUGGAAUUCCUGGUGUAGCGGUGAAAUGCGCAGAUAUCAGGAGGAACACCAAUUGCGAAGGCAGCUCGCUGGGACGUUACUGACGCUGAGACGCGAAAGCGUGGGGAGCAAACAGG